ACACGAAGAACCUUACCUGGGUUUGACAUAUAGGUUGUAGGGAACUGAAAAGGACCGACCCUUCGGGGAGCCUAUACAGGUGUUGCAUGGCUGUCGUCAGCUCGUGUCGUGAGAUGUUCGGUUAAGUCCGCUAACGAGCGCAACCCUCGUCGUAUGUUAUAUGUGUCAUACGAGACUGCCGGUAAAAAGCCGGAGGAAGGUGAGGAUGAUGUCAAGUCAGCAUGACCUUUAUAUCCAGGGCUACACACACGCUACAAUGGUCUGUACAAUGGGUAGCCAAGCCGCGAGGCGGAGCCAAUCCUGAAAGCAGGCCUCAGUUCAGAUUGCAGUCUGCAACUCGACUGCAUGAAGUCGGAAUCGCUAGUAAUCGCGGAUCAGCAUGUCGCGGUGAAUACGUUCCCGGGCCUU
rnacentral:rRNA from 1 species